CACACAUUGGUGACUGGAAAGCAGUGUUCAGAUUGAAGGAGGGUGUGAGAAAGGUAGAAUUCCACUGUGUGCCUGAUGUCAAGGGAGUGGAGUCUCUUGUCUUUGGAAGAAGCAUGGGGUUUCAGGAAAAAUACAGGUUUUCAAAUCUGGAAUCCAGUGGGGUUGAGGCUGACCAGAGAGUCACAUGGCAAAGGAGACUGGAAGUUAUAAAAGGAUCAGGUCUGCUUGAAGCAUCUUUCUCUGACUGAGCAGAAUGGGAAGAGAAGCAUGUGCUGGAGGAGUGAACUCCAAGAGAGGGGUCUCUGACUCCCGAAGAACACUCAAGUGGAAAGGAAAAAAUUGCAUACAGCUGUUUCUUAUUUUGCAUUCCAUUUGUCAUGUCUAAAGUUUAGAGUGGUUGUUUUUGGAAAUGCCUUUGCAAAACCUUUUUUCUUUGACUAUCACAUUUCCAUGAAGGGGUAAACUAUAAACCAGAGUGCCCACAAGAGUGGAGUUCUGGUAAAGGGUGUGAUUAAGCUACUGAGGUGUUCUGGAACUCAUCAUUGUCCUGGGGAUCUAGGGCAUCUGGGUCACAGGGUCGUACUUCCAAGGAGGAGUAUCAGACAGAAAGUUCGUGCCCUGGAAAUAUGCCAGAA